GAUGAACGCUGGCGGCGUGCCUAAUACAUGCAAGUCGAGCGAACAGACGAGGAGCUUGCUCCUUUGACGUUAGCCGCGGACGGGUGAGUAACACGUGGAUAACCUACCUAUAAGACUGGGAACACUUCGGGACACCGGAGCUAAUACCGGAUAAUAUAUUGAACCACAUGGUUCAAUAGUGAAAGACGGUUUUGCUGUUACUUAUAGAUGGUUCCGGGCCGCAUUAGCUAGUUGGUGAGGUAACGGCUUACCAAGGCAACGAUGCGUAGCCGACCUGAGAGGGUGAUCGGCAACACUGGAACUGAGACACGGUCCAGACUCUUACGGGAGGCAGCAGUAGGGAAUCUUCCGAAAUGGGCGAAAGCCUGACGGAGCAACGCCGCGUGGGUGAUGAAGGUCUUCGGAUCGUAAAACUCUGUUAUUAGGGAAGAACAAAUGUGUAAGUAACUAUGCACGUCUUGACGGUACCUAAUCAGAAAGCCACGGCUAACUACGUG
rnacentral:rRNA from 1 species